AACGAACGCUGGCGGCAGGCCUAACACAUGCAAGUCGAGCGCUGUAGCAAUACAGAGCGGCGCACGGGUGAGUAACACGUGGGAACGUGCCCUUUGGUUCGGAAUAACUCAGGGAAACUUGAGGCUAAUACCGGAUGAGCCCUAACGGGGAAAGAUUUAUCGCCGAAGGAGCGGCCCGCGUUGGAUUAGCUAGUUGGUGGGGUAAAAGCCUACCAAGGCGACGAUCCAUAGCUGGUGAGAGAACGACCAGCCACACUGGGACUGAGACACGGCCCAGACUCCUACGGGAGGCAGGCGGUGGGGAAUCUUGGACAAUGGGGGAAACCCUGGAUCCAGCCAUGGCCGCGUGAGUGAUGAACGGCCCUAGGGUUGUAAAACUCUUUCGGCGGGGACGAUAAUGACGGUACCCGCAGAAGAAGCUCCGGCUAACUUCGUGCCAGCAGCCGCAAGU
rnacentral:rRNA from 1 species